rnacentral:lncRNA from 1 species
GGCAAUUUCUUCUGCCAAAAGAAAGCAGGAUCAAUCGUAGAAAAUGAAAGAAAAGUGCUAUUGGAAUUAGCUUUCAUACUGAAUAAUCAGCUGCCAUAAGGAUAAACAGACGGAGAAAAGAAUGGUCAGUAAGCUAAAACAAUAUUUUCUUGCAUCUUGAAUCUUUAGCGCUACGGCCAUUAUUGUAAAAUAGACAUUCAAGUUGGGGCAAAGUGGAAUACUGUGGUGACCAAGAAUGAUUAAGGAUAAUGUAACUUUCACAAUAAAAUCUCUUCCCCACCACAUACAGUUACAAAAACUAAACAUUCUUAAAAACCCACCUUGUUGCUGUACAAAUUAUUCAACAGAUUCUAUCAUCAAAAUUCCGAAAUUCAACAGGAUUUUCCUUAUUUCAACAUGAAGACUCAUUUUGUUAAGAGCUUUCAAUGUAUAAUAUGGUAGAUGAGAACUCUUCGGCCAUGAUAUAGCUUCAAGGUGCUAUCAACGAAAUCACCUACAACUUUCGUUUAUGAUCGUCGAGGCAACGACAACAACGACUGCCCAUGUGAGCAACUGUCCCAAGUAAUCCUCUUGGUGAAUGAAAAACACGAGGCGCACCGUGUGCUAGGCAAACUGGCUCAAUCAGAUUUUGUCUCUUUCUCCGGCUACCACCGUCUAUACAACUUGGAGCACCGACAGCUACAAUGCCGUGAUUUUGUGGUAAGCAGAUACGAGGGAAAAGAUAUAUUGACA